GGAAGCUGUAGCUCAGAAGUAGAGUAUCUGCUUCCUACACAGGAUGUCCCGGGUUCAAGUCUCAACACCUCCA